UCUCCUCUCAGAGAUUCACUGUGAAGUCGUGGUCUCAGCUCUGAAGUCAGACCCCUCACAUCUGAGAGAACUGGAUCUGAGUGUAAACAACCUGCAGGAUUCAGGAGUGAAGCUGCUGUGUUCUGGACUGGAGAGUCCAAACUGUCGACUGGAGACUCUGAGGUCCUUAAAUCCUUCUUCACUUUUCAGACUUUCUUUCUUAUUGUGUCAUUAUUUAUUUAACUUGUCUCAGUUCUGCUCUGCUCACUGUCCCUCAGUCAUCUGUCCCUCACCCAGCCUGUCAGUCACGUCCACCUCAUCAACUCCAUUCACCUGCACUCACCUGCUCCUGAUCACUGAGAAAGUGUCAGUAAAUAACAUGUGGACUGAGGCCGAGCACUCGUCCUCCUCAGGUUUUCAAAAUAAGACACAUUAUUAUAGAAACACGUUGGACAGUUGAUAAGUAUAGAAACAAACAGGAAGGGACAUCAGGAGCCGUCCCUACUUUAAACAGUGUUUAAUUACACAAACCUGCUCAGUGACCAACACACAGAGAAGAAGCUGAUGAAUGAAACAAUGGUCCAACAUGUCUGAUCUGAUAUUUAUCUUCAGGUCACAGACUGGACUGAGGUCAGCAGCAUGUUGAGAGUCUGUGUUGACAUGAUGACGAUCCACAACAACAGGAGGACACAUUCUAAUAUUCAUAUUUCUUUAUCCAGGUUGAUGAACUGCAGUCUGUCAGAGAUCAGCUGUUCUUCUCUGGCUUCAGCUCUGAGGUCAAACCCCUCUCAUCUGAGAGAACUGGAUCUGAGAGGAACCAUCCUGCAGGACUCAGGAGUGAAGGAGCUGCUUGAUCUACAGCAGAGUCCAACCUGUCGACUGGAGACUCUGAGGUGGGGGUGGUCUUAGUGGAGCUGAGUGUGAAGAGGACAGUGUGUGUGGACGGAGGCUGAGCUGUGUCCUGAGGAUCCAGAGGCUGAAGCAGCAGCAGCUUGUGUGUAGUCUCCAAUCUACACAACCCCUAAUCUGCAUGUGUUUGUGAGAUGAAGCCGGAGCACCUGGAGAAAACACGGGGAGAACAUGCAGACUCCACACAGGAAGACCCAUCUGAACCGGAUUCAAACCAGCAACCUUCCUGCCCCGAUUGUGUUUAUUCACAUGAAGAAUGUGUUUAUUGAAAUGACACAACACAAGCAGAAUAUAUAAACCCUCUAUAAAGAGUCACAUACAGUGUGUUUAAGUUUGUCUUUAUUAUUCUCCACCUUUGUCCCUCAGUCUGUCUCCAUGUGUGUAGAUCCACAUUCUGUGUAGAUGUUUGUUUAUGAUCUUAAAGUUCCAAAGAAGGAAGGCUGCCGUGUCUCCAGCUCUCCCACAGCUCUGCUCUUUUUUCUAUCUUGUUGUUAUUGAUUCUUCUUUAUGUUGCAUUGUGCACUCUGACAAAGCGAGCCCUAUCAUCAUAUGUGAUGGAGAACAACUUCUGCUCAGUCUGGUUCAGCUCAUUUGUAAAUGGUGUGUUGAUGGACUGAUCUGAUUGGAUGUUCCUUAGUGGUUAUUCUUUUUUAUGAAUCUACUUCCUGUGUUGAGCGCGAGCUGCUGUUUAAAGACGUGUUUGACCUUUGACCUGAGCUGACCCGACAGUUCACUGUGACGAAGAGGAUGAAGAUGUGUAGUAUGCAGGCACGUGCACAGACAUUUUGGGGGGCAGGUGCUCAAACCAAAAAAAAAGGGCACCCAUCGCCAAAAUUGUUUAUGAAAUUGAAAAUAAUGAUAAUAAAUCAAUAAAAACUUUCUCAUUCUCCCUCAUUUGUUUUAAUUGUUGAUGGCCUGAUCCAAUAUAAAAUAGAGAUGCUACCCUGAGCUGCUUGUUGCAGUUCCCUAUCCUUCUGCUUUUGGAGUCUGUCUUUUCUUGGCAUUAUGCUGCAAAUUUUGUAAAUGAGAUAAAUAAAUGUUGUGCAUAAUAA